rnacentral:rRNA from 1 species
UAGCGGAACUCCUACGGGAGGCAGCAGUGGGGAAUUUUGGACAAUGGGGGCAACCCUGAUCCAGCAAUGCCGCGUGAGUGAAGAAGGCCUUCGGAUUGUAAAGCACAUUAAGUUGGGAGGAAGGGCAUUAACCUAAUACGUUAGUGUCUUGACGUACCGACAGAAUAAGCACCGGCUAACUCUGUGCCAGCAGCCGCGGUAAUACAGAGGGUGCAAGCGUUAAUCGGGAUUACUGGGCGUAAAGCGUGCGCAGGCGGUUGUGUAAGUCAGAUGUGAAAUCCCCGGGCUCAACCUGGGAAUUGCAUUUGAGACUGCACGGCUAGAGUGUGUCAGAGUGGGGUAGAAUUCCACGUGUAGCAGUGAAAUGCGUAGAUAUGUGGAGGAAUACCGAUGGCGAAGGCAGCCCCCUGGGAUAACACUGACGCUCAUGCACGAAAGCGUGGGGAGCAAACAGGAUUAGAAACCCUAGUAGUCCACUUAUG